rnacentral:lncRNA from 1 species
UACUGUACAUAGUUAUUUUUCUUAUUUCCAGGAAGUUUCAAGGACCAACAACACAUCUCGGUAUGACAAGCUAAGACUCAACUAAACAAACUGAUGAAACACCUCUGACCUGUGGGACACACUUGUAUGUGAUGCCAUCAACAGCAACUGAUGAAACACCUCUGACCUGUGGGAGAUACUUUCUCCAUCACUGUCUAAAGUGGACCUGAAUUGAGCUGGACCUGAUGUGAACUAGACUAAAGUGGGCUGGACGUGCAAGUGAAUGAGAUCUGAAGUUAACUGGACCUAAAGGACUAGAUGGUUGGAGGAAGGCAUAAGGUCGAGCAUGACCCAACACAU